UGGGCCCAGUGCUAAGGACUAAAGAUGAAUAAAAUGGUUCCAAUCAUGGAGCUGGGAUCACAGCUGUGCAUCUCCAUGAAGGAUGCUUCCUCCACUCUGAAGGGAGCCAGGGACUAUAGAUCAGGAACCAAAACUUGGAUAAUGAGUGGAACAUCUAUGAACACAUAGAAGAACGGUUAUAGCAAAACACAUGACUGAAUGGGACAAUAUAGUGAAAACGCAAACUAUGGCCUAGAGUGGUGAGUAGAGGCCCCAUGAAGACCUUGAGUAGACGAGGCCUCUGAGUCAUGCUCAAUGUUGCAAUGGGCAAUGUAGCUCUGACUGGGGCACUUCUCAGGGAACACUUCUCAGUAUACAUGAAAAGUAUACUCACCUGUGGAAAAGGCUGUUUUCCUUGUCCGUAAGAUAAGAUACCUCUCUAUUCCGGGUGGUCAUGUAGGUCAGAGCCUCACAGGGCAUGUGUUGAGGCUUCAUACAAUAGAAGGCUUCCUGGUCUCUGUCAUCCAGAUAUUCACAGAGUUCAGCACUUGAGUUUAGGGUCAGGCCACAUUCAGUGAAGACGUGAGAGGUGCCAUUAACAAAUUUGCCUUUGAAAAUAAUUUUAUUAUAGCCUUGGUUCCUUGCCCUCCAGAGAGCCGACGCCCCUUCACUGGGGUGGAUGAGCAGCAGAGACAGGGAGACCUGGCCCUCCCAGAACAGAGUGAAGCUGACCAGGUAGGUGCCGUUGUUGAAGUCCAUUAUCUUUCCUGAAGCACCUGCCAUCAGUGCUGGGGAGGACAUCCUGGCCCUCAGGAAAUCCCCACCAUAUUGCUUCCUGCGUCCCAAGUGGUCCCUCACCUCCAGCAGGAUGUUCAGCUGGUCUCCCCUGCAGUACAUAUCUCGAGGGUUGAGGAUGGUGGCUGUGCUGUGUGUGGCGCUGGUGGUGGUGUUCACGUGGGUGAAAGGUCUGGGUGGGAUCUGCUGAUCUAGUUUCUCUAUGAUUUCCUUUAUUCUGAGUUCAGUCUCUGUUAGUGGCUUUAAUGGUAUCAGUGAUGUCUUAGGGAAUAAGUACUUUGUGGAGUUGUUCCAGUAAUGGACGGAGAUGGAUAAGCUUAGAGCAGACCAAAGCUGAAAUGACAUGGAUUGUGAUAUACUAUGAAAUUAACCUGUCUAGUCAUUUUUACUUAUUAUGAGUUUGAAUAUUUGUUUACAGUGAAUAUUUGUAUAAUUGAAUUCAAUUUGUUACCAAAUUGAAUAUUUGGUAACAAAGUGGCAGAAUAAACC